rnacentral:rRNA from 1 species
GACAGCAGUAGCCACGGGAAUACGUAGGUGGCAAGCGUUGUCCGGAAUUAUUGGGCGUAAAGGGCUCGCAGGCGGUUUCUUAAGUCUGAUGUGAAAGCCCCCGGCUCGACCGGGGAGGGUCAUUGGAAACUGGGAAACUUGAGUGCAGAAGAGGAGAGUGGAAUUCCACGUGUAGCGGCGAAACGCGUAGAGAUGUGGAGGAACACCAGUGGCGAAGGCGACUCUCUGGCCUGUAACUGACGCUGAGGAGCGAAAGCGUGGGGAGCGAACAGGAUUAGAGACCCCUGUAGUCCCUGUCUCUUAUAC